CAGCCGCCGCGGGAAUACGGAGGGGGCUAGCGUUGUUCGGAAUUACUGGGCGUAAAGCGUACGUAGGCGGCUUUGUAAGUUAGAGGUGAAAGCCUGGUGCUCAACACCAGAACUGCCUUUAAGACUGCAUCGCUUGAACGUCGGAGAGGUGAGUGGAAUUCCGAGUGUAGAGGUGAAAUUCGUAGAUAUUCGGAAGAACACCAGUGGCGAAGGCGGCUCACUGGCUCAUUCUAGACGCUGAGGUGCGAAAGCGUGGGGAGCAAACAGGAUUAGAUACCCGCGUAGUCCCUGUCUCUUAUAC
rnacentral:rRNA from 1 species